rnacentral:rRNA from 1 species
AGAUUGAACGCUGGCGGCAGGCCUAACACAUGCAAGUCGAGCGGUAGAGAGGUGCUUGCAUCUCUUGAGAGCGGCGGACGGGUGAGUAAUGCCUAGGAAUCUGCCUAGUGGUGGGGGAUAACGUUCGGAAACGGACGCUAAUACCGCAUACGUCCUACGGGAGAAAGCGGGGGACCUUCGGGCCUCGCGCCAUUAGAUGAGCCUAGGUCGGAUUAGCUAGUUGGUGAGGUAAUGGCUCACCAAGGCGACGAUCCGUAACUGGUCUGAGAGGAUGAUCAGUCACACUGGAACUGAGACACGGUCCAGACUCCUACGGGAGGCAGCAGUGGGGAAUAUUGGACAAUGGGACGAAAGCCUGAUCCAGCCAUGCCGCGUGUGUGAAGAGGUCUUCGGAUUAGUAAAGC